AGAGUUUGAUCUUGGCUCAGGAUGAACGCUGGCGGCGUGCCUAAUACAUGCAAGUCGAGCGAACCACUUCGGUGGGAAGCGGCGAACGGGUGAGUAACACGUAGGUAAUCUGCCCAUCAGACGGGGACAACGAUUGGAAACGAUCGCUAAUACCGGAUAGGACGAAAGUUUAAAGAUGCUCCUGGCAUCACUGAUGGAUGAGCCUGCGGCGCAUUAGCUAGUUGGUGGGGUAAAGGCCUACCAAGGCGACGAUGCGUAGCCGACCUGAGAGGGUGAACGGCCACACUGGGACUGAGACACGGCCCAGACUCCUACGGGAGGCAGCAGUAGGGAAUCUUCGGCAAUGGGCGAAAGCCUGACCGAGCAACGCCGCGUGAAUGAAGAAGGCCUUCGGGUUGUAAAAUUCUGUUAUAAGGGAAGAAAGGUGAUAGGAGGAAAUGACUAUCAAUUGACGGUACCUUAUGAGAAAGCCACGGCUAACUACGUGCCAGCAGCCGCGGUAAUACGUAGGUGGCAAGCGUUAUCCGGAAUUAUUGG
rnacentral:rRNA from 1 species